rnacentral:lncRNA from 1 species
GGUUGUGGUGUUCAGCUGCCUAGCACGGUAAAACCACCACAUGCACACAGGCUGAAACUUGGGAUACUUUGUUCAAAUCCCUGCUCUUCCACAGACUUCUCACCUGAUCCUUGACAAAUCCCUUUGAAAGAUGCCUAGGUACCACAACUGCGUUUAUAUAGAUGAUAGGGAAACAUCAAAAUAAUUUGGGGCCAUUAUUGGGCUUCAAUUCCAACUGUAGAUACUAGUAUACAGCCUAUCAUUUCAGUGUCCUUGGAAACGUGAGGGGCAUGACAGAGACAACCGGUGACCUCUGGAGGUCCCUUCCCACCACCAUUUUUUAGCCUAUCACACCGUCAGCUGGUCAUUUCACUCCAAAUUCAGACUCAAAAGGGAACUCACAUUUCAGCAGCUUGCAUGGUCAUAAGAACCAAGAUGUUCACAAGUCAGAAACAACUUGAGGACUUCCUCCCGUCUGAUGCCUUCCCCCACACGGCUGCUUCUGUCUCACGCAGCUCGGAAAGAUUUCUGGUGAGAGACAUCCUUCUAUUUCCUCAGGGAAAACUGGCAAUCUUUUAGUACAGACAGGGAAACAGCUCACCCCAUCCUGCAGGGACACUACAACAGGCUACUGCCCAGAGCAGCCUCUCCCAGACAGUCCCCAUCACCACCUUGCCCCAGCUUUGCCCAGACUCUCAAUAAAGUUCUCAAACACCAUCUGAAAUGAAAUGGUCAGGAGCAAGGAAGCCCUUCCCUAAGCAUUGCAGGAAUGCUGAGAAAACCAGCAUAAGUCAGGCAAGUCAGCACCACCCUCCUCGUUCUGAAAUAUUCUUCCAGCAUGGAUGAAGAGACAGGUUAUGUGCUACUUUCUCCUGAGAAGUGAUGGUCUGAGAGAGAAGGGAGCUCUGCCCACCCUAACUUUCACUGCAGCCUCUCAUAAAGUGCAGAAGGCUGGGCUUUCCCCAUCAUCUGUCUCAGCUCUUGAGCCUGCCUGCUCUGACCUUCAGGAGCCAGCAUGUACCACCAGACCCCACCGGCCUUUAUCCAUGAAGGCUCUUCAGCAGACUCUGUAAGGGAUUUAAAAGAAAGAAUUUGGUACAUUCAUUCUUUUGAUUUGCAUCAAGUUCUGUUUAGCUUCAUACUUCAUCAGAGCUUUUCUUUAUACCUGCUGCCCCAGCGACCAAAUCCCUUCUUAUGUGUUAUGCUCUUACAACUGCCCUCCUAUUUUCAUUCAAGCUGUUCUGUCACCUUUCACACUUAACCUCUUCACACACUUCCAUCUCUUCACUUUAAAAUAAAUCCACCUUGAUGAUCA